AUUGAACGCUGGCGGAAUGCUUUACACAUGCAAGUCGAACGGCAGCACGGGGGCAACCCUGGUGGCGAGUGGCGAACGGGUGAGUAAUACAUCGGAACGUGCCCAGUCGUGGGGGAUAACGUAGCGAAAGCUACGCUAAUACCGCAUACGAACUCUGGUUGAAAGCGGGGGAUCGCAAGACCUCGCGCGAUUGGAGCGGCCGAUGGCAGAUUAGGUAGUUGGUGGGGUAAAGGCUCACCAAGCCGACGAUCUGUAGCUGGUCUGAGAGGACGACCAGCCACACUGGGACUGAGACACGGCCCAGACUCCUACGGGAGGCAGCAGUGGGGAAUUUUGGACAAUGGGCGCAAGCCUGAUCCAGCCAUUCCGCGUGCAGGAUGAAGGCCCUCGGGUUGUAAACUGCUUUUGUACGGAACGAAAAGGCUUUCUCUAAUACAGAGAGCUCAUGACGGUACCGUAAGAAUAAGCACCGGCUAACUACGUGCCAGCCGCCGCAGUAAAAC
rnacentral:rRNA from 1 species